rnacentral:rRNA from 1 species
CCUACGGGAGGCUGCAGUGAGGAAUAUUGGUCAAUGGGCGAGAGCCUGAACCAGCCAAGUCGCGUGAAGGAAGACUGUCCUAAGGAUUGUAAACUUCUUUUAUACGGGAAUAACGGGCGAUACGAGUAUUGCAAUGAAUUUACCGUAAGAAUAAGCAUCGGCUAACUCCGUGCCAGCAGCCGCGGUAAUACGGAGGAUGCGAGCGUUAUCCGGAUUUAUUGGGUUUAAAGGGUGCGUAGGUUGUUCGGUAAGUCAGCGGGGAAACCUGAGCGCUCAACGUUCAGCCUGCCGUUGAAACUGCCGGGCUUGAGUUCAGUGGCGGCAGGCGGAAUUCGUGGUGUAGCGGUGAAAUGCAUAGAUAUCACGAGGAACUCCGAUUGCGAAGGCAGCUUGCCAUACUGCGACUGACACUGAAGCACGAAGGCGUGGGUAUCAAACAGGAUUAGAUACCCUUGUAGUC